rnacentral:lncRNA from 1 species
UCAUUGUCCUUGUGGCCUCAUAUUUAUAGAGCUUCUUAACUGUUUUGUACCUCAGAUUGUUUUUAGAUAUCAUUGAAGAUUGAGAUGUACAAAUUAUGUUGAAUUUAACCUGUUUCUCUUGGAGAAAUUGCCUCUGAUAUCUUUCUAACUUAAUCUUAGUGUGUUCUAGGAACAGUUUUCCAUAAGAGGACAACUUCUCAAUGAUCAUGAUAGUUAUUUAGUAAGAAAUAAUGGUUGUUAAUCAAGUACAUGUUAUGUCUUGUCCUUCUUUGAUUUCUCUGACUCGGAUUCCUUAAUUUGCAGUGAUGUCUUAGAAAUGGAAAAAGUAUCCUCUGGGCUUUCAGACUUUCAGCAACAACAGCCAAUGGGAUACCUCUAAGUUCUAGUGUGUUCUAGUCUCUUGUAUGUCCUGAAAGGCAGCAGGAGCAUUUCUGGGGUCACACUGAUAUUUUGUUAAAGCAGAGUUUCCUGCAUGGUUUAUGGUGCUGCUCUAAUAUUUUCUCUUUAAAACUGUGUCAAUUUUUGGAGAAUGAAUUUUUCAACCUUUUCAUUGUGGAGGAUUUUUCCCACAAGGUAGUAAUGGGCAAUGGAUCAAAAUCCUAUCAUAAAUAAUUGAAUUUUCAAUGUCAUAGUGUGUGGAAAUACUACUCCCUUUCCUUCACGUCUGUCUUAGAUGUUCUGUCUUUGUCAUCAUCUGCUCCAGCACAUACUUUGGACUCCUCUUCCUCCCUCCCUCCUCAAUAGGUGUCCUCAGUGUUUUCUAACCAUUUAAAACUGAAUUUGACAAGUGGCUAAAAACUUAGUCUGAGACUUGUACUUAGUAUAUGGUUAAUUAUAGAAACAACAACUAUUUUAAACAGUUACUAAACAACAACUAUUUUAAACAGUUACUUUGUUGACUGCUCUUUAUGACUACACUUGUAUGCCAGGAGGCAGCAGCCUAUACACCAUUAGACUCUUUAUAAGCAACCAACGAACCAAUUGCAGUGGAUGCAGUUGUCACAGUAGUCUUGCCUGGGCCAGACUGGGCUGGGCUGUGGGGAGCAUUCCCCUUCAGGGGAGUUUCCACAGCUCAGCCCAGGCUCCAGUCUGGCUGGAGAGCAUCCAGCCCAUUCCUUGCCUGAGUGCCACCUUUUUCUGGGCAAGUAGCCAAGAAGUGACUUUAUAUGCAGUGAGUACUUCAGAUAAACUUACAGCUAUAGCUGCUGAAGAGUGGAGAAGGUUGACCACCAUUGAUUUAAUUCUCUAGUGUAAAAGCAAUUGAGAGCAGUGUGCGUGAGCCCACAGCCACCUGUGUUUCUGGGAGCUCUCGCAGUGGCGGAUUCUUAGGCACUUGGGCUGCACUUUGAAUGACACACUUGGCUUUAUUAGAUUCACUAGUUUUUUAAAAAUUGUUGUUUGUUUCUUCUCAUUAAAGGUUUAAUCAGACAGAUCAGACAGCAUAAUUUUGUAUUUAAUGACAGAAACGUUGGUACAUUUUUUCAUGAAUGAGCUUGCAUUCUGAAGCAAGAGCCUACAAAAGGCACUUGUUAUAAAUGAAAGUUCUGGCUCUAGAGGCCAGUACUCUGUGGAGUUUCAGAGCAGCCAGUGAUUGUUCCAGUCAGUGAUGCCUAGUUAUAUAGAGGAGGGGUACACUGUGCACUCUUCUAGGUGUAAGGGUAUGCAACUUAUGUACACAUACACACUUUAUAUAUAUGUAUGUAUGUAUGAAAACAUGAAAUUAGUUUGUCAAAAAUGUGUGUGUUUAGUAUUUUAGCUUAGUGCAACUAUUUCCACAUUAUUUAUUAAAUUGAUCUAAGACACUUUCUUGUUGACACCUUGAAUAUUAAUGUUCAAGGGUGCAAUGUGUAUUCCUUUAGAUUGUUAAAGCUUAAUUACUAUGAUUUGUAGUAAAUUAACUUUUAAAAUGUAUUUGAGCCCUUCUGUAGUGUCGUAGGGCUCUUACAGGGUGGGAAAGAUUUUAAUUUUCCAGUUGCUAAUUGAACAGUAUGGCCUCAUUAUAUAUUUUGAUUUAUAGGAGUUUGUGUCUGGGUCCCAGGAACAUCUACUGGGGAUGACUGUUAGGCAGCUUGUGAUGAUGUUUUUUAAAAAACCUAAGUAACUUGGGGAGCCAGAGCAUUUCAAACCCAUAUAGAUACCUAUCAUACCUGUAUAACCCCUAAUACAUGGAACAUAAAUUUCAUUUCAGCUUUAUGCAUUAAUGUAUUGAAGAGGCAGGCUUUUUUCCAGUAAUAAUACUGUACAUCUAAGGUUGCUAUUCAGUAAAAUUAAUAGAAGAGAUAAUUGAAUGCCAUGGAAUAUGUAGUGACAAGAGGCCAAAUUUUUCAUGUUUGUGAGCAUGUCUUUCAGAUACUCACUAAUGGAGAAAUUCAUUUUAGACCUCUAGACCCCAAAACCAAGUUAGCAAGUGACAAAAAGUAAAUUAUUAAUAGUUCGUAAAGUGGAUGCUGGUCUUACAAAGCUCCUAUUCACAUGAACCCUAUGGUUAAUUAGAAAGAACUUGCUGUCUCCAGAAAAGGGAAUGGAAAGAAUAACUAUGUAUCUUCUUUUCAUGUAAUUUGGUCACAGAAUAAGGUAUUCAAGUUAAGUCUAAUCCAAGUCUUAGAGAUCUUUAAGUAUCCUAAAAUAGCAGCCUAAGUAGUCAUCAUGUAAAGAAGUUGACUUUCAGGAAUGUCAGCAUUGACCUCUCCUUGCCGCUGUUACUCAGCUAAACAUAACUUGCCAUUCUUAAAAAUAAAAAAAGCUCCCACCCAGAAAUUCUAGUGAUACUCAGUUUUGACCUCUUACUGCUUCCAUGUGGGACUUCUUUUCAGCUUUUAACCAUUGGAAUUUUCUACCUGCUAUGUUCCUCUCUGGAAAAUAUCAAUUUGGAAAUGCUGCCUUUCAAAUCAAUGCCA